AUGCUUAGCGAUUGCUUCUGUCUGUAGUGUAGGUAUGGCUCCCGCUAGGAAACCGAGAGGCGGCGGUAACCCGGGUCGGGGUCUCGCUCUGUGCUGACCGCGACCCAGGGCCGAGUGGGCUAUGGGGGAUCCUGGCUCCCUGGUCACGGAAGGCCGCGCUGAUGACCGGAGCUGGUGCUUGCGGCGUGUGGGGAUGAACGCCGAGUGGCUGCUGCUGGAGGAUGGAAACGAGGUGACUGUAGGGCGAGGAUUUGGUGUCACAUACCAGUUGGUAUCAAAAAUCUGCCCUCUGAUGAUUUCCCGAAACCACUGUAUUUUGAAGCAGAACGCCGAGGGCCAAUGGACAAUUAUGGACAACAAGAGUCUGAAUGGUGUUUGGCUGAACAGAGAACGUCUAGAACCUUUAAAGGUCUAUUCUAUCCAUAAUGGAGAUCACAUCCAGCUUGGGGUGCCUCUGGAAAAUAAGGAGAAUGCAGAGUAUGAAUAUGAAGUUACUGAAGAAGACUGGGAGAGGAUUUAUCCUUGUCUUUCCCCAAAAAGUGACCAGAUGAUGGAAAAAAAUAAGGGCUUGAGAGCUAAAAGGAAAUUUAGUUUGAAUGAAUUAGAGGGUUCUGGAGCUGAAGGCCCCUCAAAUUUGAAAUCCAAAAUAAGUAAAGUGUCUUGUGAACCUGGUCAGCCAGUGAAGUCACAUGGGAAAGGUGAAGUGGCUAGUCAACCCUCUGAAUAUUUGGAUCCUAAGUUGACUUCUCUUCAGCUAAGUGGGAAGACCACAGGGGCUCAUGUUGACCCAGGCCCUGCAAAAGUUGUAGAGCUUCAUUAUAAGAAGCAGAAAGCCUCAAAUCCUUCAGCAUCUCAGAGCCGCUUAGAGCUGUUUAAGGUAACGAUGUCCAGGAUUCUAAAGCUGAAAACACAGUUGCAGGAAAAGCAGGUAGCUGUUCUGAAUGUGAAAAAGCAGACCCAAAAAGGGAACUCAAAGAAAAUUGUGAAAAUGGAGCAGGAACUGCAGGAUUUGCAGUCCCAGCUGUGUGAAGAGCAGGCCCAACAGCAGGCCAGAGUGGAGCAGCUGGAGAAGACUUUCCAGGAAGAGCAGCAGCAUCUCCAGCGUUUGGAGAAAGAACAAGGAGAAGAGGACCUGAAGCAACAGCUGGCCCAGACUCUGCAGGAGCAUCGGGCUCUGAUGGAAGAGCUAAAUCGCAGCAAGAAGGACUUUGAAGCAAUCAUUCAAGCCAAGAACAAAGAAUUGGAGCAGACCAAGGAAGAGAAGGCGAAGGUGCAAGCACAGAAGGAGGAAGUUCUUAGCCAUGUGAAUGACGUGCUAGAGAAUGAGCUCCAGUGUAUUAUUUGUUCAGAAUACUUCAUUGAGCAAAGAGACUGUCCUGAAAACCGUGCUCCAAGGACAUUUGAAAAACUGCCUGGCGGUGGGAACUUGGGAUGGUCUGGAGGAUUCUCUAUGGACAGGCGUGGGGCCACUCUGAGACAGAGCAUGGGAUAGAGCCACGUGGGACAGAGACUGAGUUAGGAGGUCCUCCGUCACGACCCUCCAUGUUGGCCAUCCCUGCUGCCACCAUUGUCUGAAGCACCGACUGCUUCAGAGUACUUAAGAGACUCUGCUUCACUACACUGAACAGCUCCCAGACAGUCUCACAAGUAAACACUGGCAGCUCAUAAAUUACAACCAAGAAAGUGACUCUAUCCGAUGAUAGACUCAAGUGCAUGUCAGCCUAAGAAGCCAAGGCCAAGAUCAUGGCCGUAGCAGAUGGGCUCUGUUAAGCCCCCAACUGGUAUGUCUCCUUUUCAUUCCAGAGAUGAGUCACUGCUACCUGGUUUUGGGAUGGAGUGAAUUCCCUUCUUUCAGCUGGGGUUCUGAAGUGGUUUCCAAAUCUAUUUUACCCAAUGUCAGCAAACAUGGGCAGUGAUUUUAUGAGAACUUGAUAUGCUUUUUAAAAAAAAUUAAAAGUGAUUUCUCUUUUACUGCUUUCCCAUUUUAAACAAAGAAAACUAGUUUGAUGUUUGGGAAAUAGGAGCUUAGGAAAAUCUGUGGUAUCCUUGGUUACCAGUGAUGAGAAUGAAGGAAAACACAGGAAGUUGAAGAGUAGUUAUUUAAAAUGAGGAGCUCUAGUAGGAAACUGGUUGUGCUUUAUGUCAUUCAAUGAUUUGCUUCCAGAUGGAAAGGUAUUUUCUUCUCCCUUUUUACUGCCUACCUAGAGAACAGUUCUCUGUAGUUCUUUAUUUAUACCCCAUGUGUUUCAUAGGGAUGGUAGGUUUUUCCUUUGUUGAAUCCUGUGUGUAUUGGGAUUCUGGCGUCCCUAGUCUUCAUUUUCAUCUUUCUCAGUGGGAUUACUGAUUGAAAUACUGGUGUAGUCAAGGAAGAAGUUAAGUUAAACAUAGAAAAUAAUACUUUAAAAAUAACCAUUAUAACCAAAUCAAAAAAUUCUGGAGAAACAGAGAAAAGAAGGAAAAGAUUAUUACAUCUUGAUGUAACAGUCUCCUGUUUCCCCUAUACGUAUGUUUUGUUUAUAGGUUGCAUGGGAUAUAUAAAUUUUUAGAAGAGUACAGAUAUACCCUUUUUUUUUUUUUAAAGAAAGGAAAGGUGCUUUAAUAAGAAAAGUCGGCAAUCUAGGGAGAUGGUGGACUCGUGUCCAGAGACCAACUCCAAAGAUUCUGCUCAGCCAUGACAGUUUGUUUGUUUUUGU